ensembl:Mt_tRNA
GCUGGGUUGGCAGAGCCUGGCUUAAUGCAAAAGACCUAAGCCCUUUUAUCCAGAGAUUCAAAUUCUCUACCCAGCA